rnacentral:rRNA from 1 species
UACGUAGGUCCCGAGCGUUGUCCGGAUUUAUUGGGCGUAAAGCGAGCGCAGGUGGUUUAUUAAGUCUGGUGUAAAAGGCAGUGGCUCAACCAUUGUAUGCAUUGGAAACUGGUAGACUUGAGUGCAGGAGAGGAGAGUGGAAUUCCAUGCGUAGCGGUGAAAUGCGUAGAUAUAUGGAGGAACACCGGUGGCGAAAGCGGCUCUCUGGCCUGUAACUGACACUGAGACUCGAAAGCGUGGGGAGCAAACAGG